rnacentral:tRNA from 1 species
GGCCUGGUGGUCUAGGGGUAUGAUUCUCGCUUAGGGUGCGAGAGGUCCCGGGUUCAAAUCCCGGCCAGGCCC